GAUGAACGCUGGCGGCGUGCCUAACACAUGCAAGUCGAGCGUGAUUGUUAUGAGUGGAGACUUCGGUCAAAGCGAGUAACAUGAAAGCGGCGGACGGGUGAGUAACGCGUGGGCAACCUGCCCCAUACAGCGGAAUAGCCAAUGGAAACGGUGAUUAAUGCCGCAUAAGACCACGGCAUCGCAUGGUGAUGUGGUCAAAGAUUUAUCGGUAUGGGAUGGGCCCGCGUCUGAUUAGCUAGUUGGUGAGGUAACGGCUCCCCAAGGCGACGAUCAGUAGCCGACCGGAGAGGGCGGACGGCCACACUGGAACUGAGACACGGUCCAGACUCCUACGGGAGGCAGCAGUGGGGAAUAUUGCACAAUGGGCGCAAGCCUGAUGCAGCAACGCCGCGUGAGUGAAGAAGGCCUUCGGGUCGUAAAGCUCUGUCCUGUGGGAAGAAAAAAAUGACGGUACCACAGGAGGAAGCCCCGGCUAACUACGUGCCAGCCGCCGCCGUAA
rnacentral:rRNA from 1 species